GAUGACUCAGGGUUAAACUGUCAACCCUUAUUAGAUCAUCUGAAUCGUGCUCAACUCAAAUAGUCUGUGACUCCUCACUAGGACUACCCUGGUCAAGAUUUUGCUAAAUUAAAAUAUGACUGUACACAGCUCCUGAAUAGGAGUGGUCAAUCCUAUCUUGACACACGCACCAACAAGUCAAGUACUUGACUACACCCAGCAUCCUUCUGUCACUGAAUUAGAAAUUCAGGUAGUCCAGUGCCUAAGUGCAGUGAGUUGCUUGCAAGUCACCAUGGUGGUC
rnacentral:lncRNA from 1 species